GCGACCGGAACGUAUUUAUUAGAUAUUAGACCAAUCGCAGCAAUGUGAUUGAGAUGAAUCAAAGUAACUGAUCGAAUCGUAGCUUGCUACGAUAAAUCAUCUAAGUUUCUGCCCUAUCAGCUCUCGAUGGUAGUGUAUUGGACUACCAUGGCAGUCACGGGUAACGGAGAAUUAGGGUUCGAUUCCGGAGAAGGAGCCUGAGAAACGGCUACUACAACUACGGUUCGGCAGCAGGGAAGAAAAUUGGCCAAUCCUAAUUCAGGGAGCCAGUGACAAGAAAUAGCAAGCUGGGAAACUAAGUUUCUACGGCAUUGAAAUGAGAAAAGUGUUAAUCUCUUAGCGAGGAACAAUUGGAGGGCAAGUCAUGGUGCCAGCAGCCGCGGUAAUUCCAGCUCCAAUAGCGUAUAUUAAAGUUGUUGCAGUUAAAAAGCUCGUAGUUGAACUUCUGUUCAGGUUCAUUUCGACUCGUCGAGUGAAACUGGGCAUACGUCUGCAAACUAAAAUCGGCCUUCACUGGUUCGACUUAGGGAGUAGGCAUUUUACUGUGAAAAAAUUAGAGUGUUUCAGGCAGGUUUUAGCCCGAAUACAUUAGCAUGGAAUAAUGGAAUAGGACUAAGUCCAUUUUAUUGGUUCUUGGAUUUGGUAAUGAUUAAUAGGGACAGUUGGGGGCAUUAGUAUUUAAUAGUCAGAGGUGAAAUUCUUGGAUUUAUUAAGGACUAACUAAUGCGAAAGCAUUUGCCAAAGAUGUUUUCAUUAAUCAAGAACGAAAGUUAGGGGAUCAAAGACGAUCAGAUACCGUCGUAGUCUUAACUAUAAACUAUACCGACUCGGGAUCGGCUGGAAUAUAUGUCCAGUCGGCACCGUAUGAGAAAUCAAAGUCUUUGGGUUCUGGGGGAAGUAUGGUACGCAAGUCUGAAACUUAAAGGAAUUGACGGAACAGCACACCAGAAGUGGAACCUGCGGCUUAAUUUGACUCAACACGGGGAAACUCACGAGCGCAAGACAGAGAAGGGAUUGACAGAUUGAGAGCUCUUUCUUGAUUCUUUGGGUGGUGGUGCAUGGCCGUUCUUAGUUGGUGGAGUGAUUUGUCUGGUUAAUUCCGUUAACGAACGAGACCUUAACCUGCUAACUAGUCUGCCUGUGAACAACAGGUUGUACUUCUUAGAGGGACUAUUGUGCAAGAAGCCAAUGGAAGUUUAAGGCAAUAACAGGUCUGUGAUGCCCCUAGACGUGCUCGGCCGCACGCGCGUUACAAUGACUGGCGCAGAAAGUAUUUCCUGUCCUGGGAAGGUACGGGUAAUCUUAUUAAUACCAGUCGUGUUAGGGAUAGUUCUUUGGAAUUUUGGAUCUUGAACGAGGAAUUUCUAGUA
rnacentral:rRNA from 1 species